UUUUUUUUUUUUCUUUUUACGGCUGCACCUGCAUUAUAUGGAGGUUUUCAGGCUAGGGGUCCAAUCAGAGCUGCAGCUACUGACCUACACCACAGCCACGGCAACACCAGAUCCAAGCAACUUACAUCACAGCUUGUGGCAACACUGGAUCCUUAGCCAACUGAGCAAGGCCAGGGAUUGAACCCACACCCUCACAGAGACAAUGUCAUGUCCUUAAUCCUCUGAGCCACAAUAGGAACUCCAAGUGAGGUUAUUUUCAUACCCAUUUUAGAGAUGAGAAAAGUGAAGUCUCAGAGAGGAAAAAUGUACCCAUGAUCACACAGUAAGCAGCAGGUAACUGACACUCAUGCCUGAUCUUCUAAUUCCAAGUCCACCAUUUUUUCUACAAAAGCAUUCGUUGCUGCUUCUGCCUCCUGAAAAUGUAAAAAGAUCAAAAAGCAGGAAAAAAAGUAUUGAGCACUUAGUAUUUGACAGACACAGUUCUAAGGACCUAACAUGUAUCAAGUUCAUUGUUUAGAAAACAAGAAGAUGCGUACUCUUAUUGCCAUUUUGCUUACAGGGUGGGUAAGUAAAAACUCCAGCAUUCUAAUCACACAGUCUGGCUGUAGAGCCGGCCCUUCUAGCUAUCCCCACACCACUGCAUACUUGCCUGCAUUUGUGCUCACAUCUUUUUCUCCUUGCCUCCCAUUUCCCUGACCAAUGAUACUGAGGAGAAAGUUCUAGGCGUGCUCCCUAGGGGCAGGGUGGGGAGACCUUCCUUCAGAGACAGGGAGGUGUGGUGGGUCAGGGGCUCAGACGCUGGCUCAGACCCCAGCUCUGCACUGUCCAGCUCAGUGGCCCUGGGCAAGUCGGUCAACCUCUUCAUCACCCUUGGCUUCAUCACCUGUGGACUGCAGGAAGCCUAACACCACCCAGUGGGCUUCUGUGGGUUAUAAGUUAACAUUUUUGUAAAGUGCUUAGAGCAGUGCUUUUGUCUUAUUGCAUUGGAAACUUUGGCCAUUUGAGGUGACUGGAGCGGAGCCUUGGGUGUGGGUGAAAGCAGGGAGCACCCUGUGGAGAUAUGGGGGAGUGGGCGGGGUGGGGUGGGAGGAAUGAUGGAGGAUUUGAAUGCCUUUCAGCGGGGACUGACUUUCUCAUGGAGUCACGAGUUCUCUGAAUUAAGAGCAUCUUUCCCGGGCAUCUCACUCAAGCAGGCAAGAAAGCAGGGAGGCAGGUGGGAGUCUCAGACAAAGGCCUCGGAAGAGCAAGAAUUCCCUGCUUCCCGAGACCAGGUGACAACUGCAGUAAAAUAAAUGACACUCGGGAGGCUGAGGUUGGGAGAGCUUCCCUUUGGCCUCUUAAGGAAACUUGACAACUGAGAUAUUGAGUCCAGAUGCCUUUGCACCUGGCCUCAAAUGCAUUCCUAGCCUAUGAAUUCUUAGGAGUGAUCCAAACCCGCCUGCAGAACUGAAUGAGUUCUAGGCUGAAAGCUACACUGGUAAUAAGAGCCAACGUUUAUGGAUUCCCAGGUAGCAGGCACAAUUCUGAACACUCGCUUGUGUUAACUCAUUUACUUGUUUAUGUAUUUUUCUUUUAGGGCUGCACCUGCAGCAUAUGGAGGUUCCCAGGUGAGUUCUGCCCCAACCUUCCCGGGGCCAAAGGGAGAAGGGAUCCCUGUGAGUGGCUUUGAGGCCCAGGCACAGUCAGUGCUGCCUGGGUGUGGCUUCUGGCAUUGCACUUUGGGGAUUGCUGUUCCCUCCGGCCCAAGGAAUGAUGAAUCUACCAAGAGAGAGGUGAUCCUGUGGCGGCCUGCCUAGGUGUGCCUAAGUGUAAGAAAGCUCUACCCAGUUCCUGAUCCUCUGAGGGCAGGAAAACAGCUCCUGUUCCCACAGGCCCCCAGAGAUCGCACCACCGUUUAUCUCCCUCCCCGGUAAUGGCUGGAAUGCUGCCUCUCCAGGCAAAAAAUCACUGCUCACCGCAAUUACUCUUGGCAUGUGGGCAACUUUAUGGCCACUAAUUAGUUAAAUGUGCACAGCACCCUGUGAGACCAAAGGAUCCCUGGCUCUGCUUUGUGGGUGGGAACACAGGGACCGGGAGUAACCUCAGGCUGUCGCCCAAGUCGGGGUACGCUCAGGUCCAGGUCCUGCUCCCGCUCCAGACCCAGCACAGCAAGCUAUGCACAGCCGGCAAGGGCUUUAGCUUUCUUCUGAAAGGACAAGGAGGUGGUGGUUUCCUAAACCAUUCAUUCUGCUACAGUAAUGGAAGUUGGGAACAGUCUGGUCUGAGCAAUCUCUACAUUAACCAGAGGCUCUAGUUCAUGGAUCGCCAAGCAUCUCUUGG
rnacentral:lncRNA from 1 species